AUUGAACGCUGGCGGCAUGCCUUACACAUGCAAGUCGAACGGUAACAGGUCUUCGGAUGCUGACGAGUGGCGAACGGGUGAGUAAUGCAUCGGAACGUGCCCAGUAGUGGGGGAUAGCCCGGCGAAAGCCGGAUUAAUACCGCAUACGACCUGAGGGUGACAGGGGGGGAUCGCAAGACCUCUCGCUAUUGGAGCGGCCGAGGUCAGAUUAGCUAGUUGGUGGGGUAGAGGCCUACCAAGGCAACGAUCUGUAGUUGGUCUGAGAGGACGACCGGCCGCACCGGGACUGAGCCACGGCCCAGACUCCUACGGGAGGCAGCAGUGGGGAAUUUUGGACACUGGGCGCAAGCCUGAUCCAGCAAUGCCGCGUGCAGGAAGAAGGCCUUCGGGUUGUAAACUGCUUUUGUCAGGGAAGAAAUCUUCUGGGUUAAUACCUCGGGAGGAUGACGGUACCUGAAGAAUAAGCACCGGCUAACUACGUGCCAGCAGCCGCGGUAAUAC
rnacentral:rRNA from 1 species